rnacentral:misc_RNA from 1 species
UCCGGUUUGUCACCGGCAGUCUCCCUAGAGUGCCCUUGCGUAGCAACUAGGGACAAGGGUUGCGCUCGUUGCGGGACUUAACCCAACAUCUCACGACACGAGCUGACGACAGCCAUGCAGCACCUGUGUUCCGAUUCCCUUUCGGGCACUCCCACCUCUCAGCAGGAUUCCGGACAUGUCAAACCCAGGUAAGGUUCUUCGCGUUGCAUCGAAUUAAUCCACAUGCUCCGCCGCUUGUGCGGGUCCCCGUCAAUUCCUUUGAGUUUUAAUCUUGCGACCGUACUCCCCAGGCGGUCAACUUCACGCGUUAGCUUCGUUACCAAGGGAAUUAAUCCCCCGACAACCAGUUGACAUAGUUUAGGGCGUGGACUAC